rnacentral:rRNA from 1 species
CCUACGGGGGGCAGCAGUGAGGAAUAUUGGUCAAUGGGCGCAAGCCUGAACCAGCCAAGUCGCGUGAGGGAUGACGGUCCUAUGGAUUGUAAACCUCUUUUGUCGGGGAGCAAGGCCCGCCACGUGUGGCGGGAAGGAGAGUACCCGAAGAAAAAGCAUCGGCUAACUCCGUGCCAGCAGCCGCGGUAAUACGGAGGAUGCGAGCGUUAUCCGGAUUUAUUGGGUUUAAAGGGUGCGUAGGCGGUUGGAUAAGUUAGAGGUGAAAUGUCGGGGCUCAACCCCGAAACUGCCUCUAAUACUGUUGGACUAGAGAAUAGUUGCGGUAGGCGGAAUGUAUGGUGUAGCGGUGAAGUGCUUAGAGAUCAUACAGAACACCGAUUGCGAAGGCAGCUUACCAAACUAUAUCUGACGUUGAGGCACGAAAGCGUGGGGAGCAAACAGGAUUAGAUACCCGUGUAGUC